rnacentral:rRNA from 1 species
CCUACGGGUGGCAGCAGUAGGGAAUCUUCCACAAUGGACGAAAGUCUGAUGGAGCAACGCCGCGUGAGUGAAGAAGGGUUUCGGCUCGUAAAGCUCUGUUGGUAGUGAAGAAAGAUAGAGGUAGUAACUGGCCUUUAUUUGACGGUAAUUACUUAGAAAGUCACGGCUAACUACGUGCCAGCAGCCGCGGUAAUACGUAGGUGGCAAGCGUUGUCCGGAUUUAUUGGGCGUAAAGCGAGUGCAGGCGGUUCAAUAAGUCUGAUGUGAAAGCCUUCGGCUCAACCGGAGAAUUGCAUCAGAAACUGUAGAAAGUGAGUGUGUAAGAGGAUAGGGGAACUCCAUGUGUAGGAGUGGAAAGCGGAGAUAUAUGGAAGAACAACAGUGGCGAAGGCGGCUCUCGGGUAUGCAACUGACGCUGAGGAUCGAAAGCAUGGGUAGCGAACAGGAGUAGAGACCCCAGUAGUC